AGAGAGAGACAUGCGCGCAUAUCAAUAAGCGGGGAAAAGAAACUAACUAGGAUUCCCUCAGUAACGGCGAGUGAAGCGGGAAGAGCUCAAAUUUGAAAUCUUCAAGGUUCUACCUUGACGAAUUGUAGUUUAAAGAAGUGUUUUCUGUUGGAGUUUUGGUAAAAGUUCUUUGGAAUAGGACAUCGAUAGAGGGUGAGAAUCCCGUAUUUGACCAUUACUUUCCACUUUGUGAUACACUUUCAAAGAGUCGGAUUGUUUGGGAAUGCAGUCCAAAAUGGGUGGUAAAUUUCAUCUAAAGCUAAAUAUUGGCGAGAGACCGAUAGCGAACAAGUACCGUGAGGGAAAGAUGAAAAGAACUUUGAAAAGAGAGUUAAACAGUACGUGAAAUUGUCAAAAGGGAAGCGUUUGACAUCAGUGUUGUUUUCUCGAAAAUCAAUUAAAAAAGGCAGGAUUUUGUGUUGUAUUGACUUUAUCAGCUUUCUGCACUCUUUUCUUGUCUUUUUUAAUGCACUUUUCGUUUAACAAGUCAACAUCAAUUUCUUUUGUUGUAAAAGGGUCAUUGGAAGGUGGCUUUCUUUUCGGAGAAAGUGUUUAUAGCCUUUGGCCUCUGCAAUCGGAGAGAUUGAGGUCUGCAGCGUAGAUCCUUCGGGGUUAGAUACAUUUGUGCUAAGUUAUAGCCUUUCAUAGACAACUUGUUGACUAUGAUCAGUCAUGUAGCUUACUCGCUUAUGCUAUUUUACCUACGCUUAGGAUGUUGAUGUGAUACUGCGAGCA
rnacentral:rRNA from 1 species